UAAUGCCGGGUACUCUGGAAGGACUGCCAUCGACAAGAUGGAGGAAGUGGGGAUGACGUCAAGUCAUCAUGGCCCUUAUGUCCAGGGCGACACACGUGCUACAAUGGCCGGCACAACGGGAAGCGAGUUCGCGAGGACGAGCGGAUCCCUCAAAGCCGGUCGCAGUUCGGAUUGAAGUCUGCAACUCGACUUCAUGAAGCUGGAAUCGCUAGUAAUCGUGGAUCAGCCAAGCCGCGGUGAAUACGUUCCCGGGCCUU
rnacentral:rRNA from 1 species